AAAACUUCAACCUUUGGUGAAGGUCCUCUUUUGCGAGGAACGAACCCAAAGUCCGCUCUCCUCAAUUUGGUCCUCCAUUUCGUUCUCUCUCAUAUUCUUCAUUGUACGCAAUGGUAUUCUUUGGUGACCAUGGUGGUUUGGGCAAGGUAAAUGAGUUUAUCCAUUUUCUUCAUUGCAUUUUGGGUUUGGCAUUGGGUUUUCGCUAUUGUGUUUAUUUUAUUUUUUUUUUCGUUUUUGGGAUUUGGCCUUUUCUUAUUUAGUCUCUUUGGUGCAGUUGUGCGUUUGUCAUUCCUUUUUAACAAAGUAUGUUUGUGCUUUGAAGAGAAGAAUAAAAGGAGAAACAUACAAAGUACGCCUCAUGUAGAAUCUGACAUGAACAUUGUCUUUGUAAGUGCGGGAGGCAUGUAUAGCAACCAACCCAGUGUGUAGAGGUUUGCGAGAGUUGGAUUGCGAAAGCAUUACAAGAGCAAGGCACUUAGAACCCCAUACAUAGGAAAUAGAGUGAAACACGAGUGAUUUGUGUAUUCAAUUGUUAUAGAAAGGGUUACAAAAUUGUACAUAGAUGAAGAAAUAAGUUUAUAG
rnacentral:lncRNA from 1 species